rnacentral:tRNA from 2 species
GACCCGCUAGCUCAGCCGGUAGAGCAUUUGACUUUUAAUCAAAGGGUCCUGGGUUCGAAUCCCAGGCGGGUCACCA